rnacentral:rRNA from 1 species
UACAGAGGUCUCGAGCGUUAGGCGGAAUCACUGGGCUUAAAGCGUGUGUAGGCGGAUCGGUAAGUCCCUUGUGAAAUCCCACAGCUUAACUGUGGAACUGCUUGGUAUACUGCCAGUCUUGAGCCAGCUAGGGGCUACCGGAACAAAUGGUGGAGCGGUGAAAUGCGUAGAUAUCAUUUGGAACGCCAAUGGUGAAAACAGGUAGCUGGGGCUGUGCUGACGCUGAGACACGAAAGCCAGGGGAGCAAACGGG